GAAACGCGAUAGUUAAUGUGAAUUGCAGAAUUUAGUGAAUCAUCGAGUCUUUGAACGCACAUUGCGCCCAUUAGUAUUCUAGUAGGCAUGCCUGUUCGAGCGUCAUUUCAACCCUCAAGCCCUGGUUGCUUGGUGUUGGGAGCUUGCUGUGAAACGCAACUCCUCAAAGCUAGCUGGCAGAGUCGGGAUGCACUCUAAGCGUAGUAAACUUGAUAGUCUCGCUUCUGCAGUUGUCCCGGCCGUCUUGCCAUAAAAGCCCAAACUUUUUUGUUUUCUAUGGUUGACCUCGGAUCAGGUAGGAAUACCCGCUGAACUUAAGC
rnacentral:misc_RNA from 1 species